ACGUAGGGUGCGAGCGUUGUCCGGAAUUAUUGGGCGUAAAGGGCUCGUAGGCGGUUUGUCGCGUCGGGAGUGAAAACCAUGGGCUUAACUCAUGGCUUGCUUCCGAUACGGGCAGACUAGAGGCGUGCAGGGGAGAACGGAAUUCCUGGUGUAGCGGUGAAAUGCGCAGAUAUCAGGAGGAACACCGAUGGCGAAGGCAGCCCCCUGGGCUAACACUGACGCUCAUGCACGAAAGCGUGGGGAGCAAACAGGA
rnacentral:rRNA from 1 species